GUGAUACGGUCAAGAUGCGUACUGUAUAAGGCCCCUUUCAAAACGACGACGAUCUUGAAAAAGACUGCAGAAUUCUUAAUUCAACAUCUCGUUCUGAGAGCUGAGUGGACAAUCAAGUUGCAUUUUCCUUCUGAUAACAGUGACGUCAAGUCAAGAUCAAGAAAAGAUAUCGUUUAUUUGGAACA